rnacentral:rRNA from 1 species
GAUGAACGCUGGCGGCGUGCCUAAUACAGGCAAGUCGAGCGAACGGACGAGAAGCUUGCUGCUCUGAUGUUAGCGGCGGACGGGUGAGUAACACGUGGAUAACCUACCUAUAAGACUGGGAUAACUUCGGGAAACCGGAGCUAAUACCGGAUAAUAUUUUGAACCGCAUUGUUCAAAAGUGAAAGACGGUCUUGCUGUCACUUAUAGAUGGAUCCGCGCUGCAUUAGCUAGUUGGUAAGGUAACGGCUUACCAAGGCAACGAUGCAUAGCCGACCUGAGAGGGUGAUCGGCCACACUGGAACUGAGACACGGUCCAGACUCCUACGGGCGCCCGCACUAGGGACUCUUCCGCACUGGGCUAAAGCCUGACCGAGCCUCGCCCCGUGCGUGCUGAAGGACUUCGGAUCGUAAACCUCUGUUAUUACGGAAGAACAUAUGUGUAAGUAGCUGUGCACAGCUUGACGGUACCUAGUCAGACAGCCACGGCUGACUACGUU